GAGAUUUGCUCCAGCCCGAAGGCCGUGAGCGGCCGCGGUGCCGAGCUGCGAGAGAGGAAGAACCAGGGGACGAUGCCCGGGGCUCCUCGGGGCGAUGCGCAGGCAGCCAAAGCGCAGCAGGACCCCCCCGGUGCAAUUAGGAGCUGCAAUUAAAUUCCAUUCUGCCAGCAGCCCAUCGAGCACUUGAGGCAGGAGCGAAGGAGGCCGGGGCUGUGCCCGCCGCCCCGUUUCGCUUUCUAAGCUCCGUCCCCUUCCCAGGCAUCGCCUCCCCUCCCCUCUCUGCCUCUGCGACCCCAGACGACAGCCAGGCUCCCUUCUGCCCCCUCAAAGCUUUUCGCAGGACCCGAGAGGUGACCGAGGAGCGUGGCCAGCCCCAGCCGGAGAUGUGCAGCCUGCCCGGAGUUAUCCUGCUCCUCCUGACAGGAGCCGCCUCUGCGGAGGAGCCGUGGGUCCAUCAGAGCCCGGCAUGGCUCUGGCUGCCCCCCGGGGCGACGGCAGAGCUGAGCUGCAACAUCUCGGGCAGCCCGUGGGGCGCCAAUUGGUACAGGGAGAAGCCGGAUGGCAGCUUGGAAUGGAUUUACCAGAAUGCAGAGCCCUCGAAACCAAAGGGGAGAUACUCAGGGACAGUGAGAGCACGGGGUGUUUUCUCCUUUAAUAUCAGCAAUGUGCAGCGUGAGGACUCUGGGUAUUAUUACUGCACCUCCUACAAGUUGCGCUCCCACUUCGGGAACGGGACCAGGCUCCUCGUCACAGAUGUCACCGAGCCCAAGCUCUCCAUCCUGGUCCCCGUGGACGCGGAGGAGCCCUCGGACGCUGUCCCCCUGCUGUGCCACCUCCACGGCGCCUGGAGCCUCACCUGGGUCUUGGCCAAGCACUGGGACGGGGCCGCAGCGUGCACGGCCACAGAACGCAGCACGGGCAGGAAUGUCAGCGGGGCCGUC